rnacentral:lncRNA from 1 species
GCCAGGUGCGUUUGCAGCGGGGUCAGGCAAACGCAUCGUGGCGGGGGCGCCACAUGUACACUUACAGCCCCACAAACCGCUCUAGUCAGGAUCAAGACGCCCACCCACCGGCCGUAAUCCUUUUCAGCCUUGGUCACGGGUGCUGAAGCCGAGUCGGCCCGGUGCUUGGAGAUAUAGGACGACCAGCUGUCCCAGGCAGUGGGUGUGGAGGCGGCGCUGCAGGUGACUGGAGGUGGGGGGAAGGCGGGGAAGGCUCAGCCGGGAGCAGAUACUCAGUAGAAUGCCCAGCCCCUUCAUUACUGCCUCUUACAUGCCACCAGGGCUUACCUCGCGAGCCCGCCACCAGGCGAACAGGCGCUGGGCUCCGGGCCAUCACGCUGGUCCUGGAUUUGAGCGACAUUGGAGCGCAAGUGAGUCCCCCUGCCAGUGUCUACGAAACGCUGCAAUUAAGAGCAACCUCGCCAGCCCUGCACCUGGCGAUAGAAGGCUUCGUCGACAGCAUGUUGUGUUUGGAGCUCGAAACGCUCGGCCUGUGGAAUGCAUAAACACAGCACAAUAAACGCAUGAAACGUCGUGUUCAUUCAUGCAUAAACAAUGAAACUGGCGAAAGCUGCAACGCGCUAGAACAAUCAACGAGACCAGUUUGCACGAUCCAGCGCCUCCGACAUUUACUACCGAGAAUCUAACAUGUGUAGUGCCAUACUGUGAAGGGACUUUUGGGAGACUGGUGUCCCGGACUGCUCAACGCUCAAUCUGUGCUGCGCGCCAAGGCGCAUGCUCUAUGCAGCUCUACCUGCAGUGGGUUCGAGAAUGCAGCAGGAACUGAAAUCGGCGCCUCCAGAUGUCCAGCCAAGGAAAACACGCCCGCAGCAGCCGAACUCGAGCCUCAAGUAUAAUAGUCGUGAAUAAUGUGGUGAG